UUUGGAACAUUUUAAUAAAGUGGAUUAAGAACUCGGACACAAAAAGUAACCUGUUUCCCUGUGACGGGUGCUUUAAUCUUCUCCCUGAGCUGCUGACAAAGGCUUUCCUUAAAGAAACCUCCUGAACACAAAAGGGAGAAUAAAAGAAUGGGAGAACAGACUGAGAGGUGCAAGAUGUUUAAAAGCACCCAAAAAAAUGAAGCCGCUUGGGUGUUAAUUGUAUUCUCUUUUCCCAGAGCCUGUUUUCCUCUUUCGCUUCCGAUUUUGGAUCAAUGCUAGAGGCUGCAAAGCUAACCCAAGGAAGGAAAAAGCCUUUGAUUAGACAAUCUGAGUGGUAAAAAAGGUAUUGAACAGAAAGUGCAGUCAAUGAGCUGCUCAAUACAACAAUUAGAAGGUGAAACUUUUUCUUUCCCUUUCGAAGCAAGACACACCUCUGCUCUGCUGGAAGGAGCCUAUGAAACUAUCUGGCAUUUAAAGGGACACUCCCGGUGUUUUCAGCAACAAGAUUUCCAUGACAAUAAAUUAAUAAACUAAUAAAGAAAUAUAGAAAAAUGUUAUCUUUGCAAGUGUUCCUGGAGUAUUUCUAAUUAAAGAAUCUUUCCAGCAUUGCUGGCAAUAUAAAUGGUUAUACAAUUGAAGUUUUGCCCAGAUGGGGAACCCCACUGUUCCAUGGACAUGACGUGGGAAUUAAAUCUCAGUUGAUUGGUUUGACAUGCCAACACGGUAAGUUCAUUUCUUUUCUUCCUGUCUCAAUGGUCAGAAUUAUUAUUGUAAGACUAGAGACUUAUUUAUAUGUUUGCUUGUUUCCCCUUCCCCCACUAGGGUAUUUUCAAGCUUGGGAGCAUCUCAAGGUGUUGUGGGUGGUUCAACAGAUGACUCUGGCCAACAGCCAGUGUCACUUGGCAAGAAGGCCACAACGUGUGCCCUCGGGGACUUUGCAGACUUGUAACUUUGCAAGUCCUGCAGUGACGAGAGUUGUGUCAGUCUCUUGGGCUUCGUUUGGAGCUGAAUUUGGUUCAAGAACAUGGUGUCUCCUUCAGUCUGGACCAUGUCUACUGCAAUCCAAGACAGAGCCCGAGCUGCAUUUGCUGUGGUUCUGCCAGGGACAAAAGGUGCCAUCACAGGCUCUCUCUGAACAUGGGCAAGCAGAAGAUCUCACAGCAGGAGGGGAACUGAGGCGUUUCUGCAUCUCUCUCCCUCACAGCUUCAGAUACAUCUACAGCCAUUUAUAGACAGAGAUCAUGGUUGCCGAAUGAAAGGUUGGAAAAACGAGACGCCCAAGGCAACCCUACCUCAGUGACAGUGCCUCUGGACUACGAGGGGGAGCCUAAAAUCAAAUUUCUGCAGGGAACUUUCUUCAGUUUUCUAAG
rnacentral:lncRNA from 1 species